rnacentral:misc_RNA from 1 species
GCUCCAAAAUGAUGCUUUGAAGGAAAGUGCAUGAAUCUUGAGAUCACUCCCACUGAGAAUGCAAUGUCUAGUUUUGUGUGUGUCAAGUAGAUUAGUCCACCAACCAAACUCCUAAAGAUAUUUUCAUUCAUUGAUCCAGUUCCAUCAUCAACUUGUAACUUUUCAUUCACAUUCGCUACCAUUUUACAAUUUUCCAUGUUGAAUCAUUUAAGAAGAUCUGCAGCAUAUUUUCUUUGUGAGAUGAACACUCCUCCUUCAGCCUGUUUCAUUUCAAUUCCAAGAAAGUAAUGCAAUAAACCCAAAUCUGACAUUUCAAAUUCCUUAUUCUAAUUCUCUAUUUAAAAAAGCAGAUUUAACAUCAAACUGAUAUAUAGGCCAAUUUAAUUGAGUAAUUAAGGCAAGUAAGGUUCUUACAGUCUAGAACCGAGCAACAGGAGAAAAUGUAUCUUCAUAAUCCACACCUUGUUGCUGUGAGUAUCCCUUUGCUACCAAUCGUGCUUUGUGCUUCUGUAUACUCCCAUAUGCAUGAAACUUUGUUCUAAAAAUCCAUUUUACACCAAUGGCCUUCUUGCCUUUAGGAAGAUCCACCAACUCCCAAGUCUUAUUGUUUUGAAUUGCUGCAAGUUCUUCAUUCAUUGCUUUUGUCCAUUCUUCUUUCUCUGCUGCUUCUUCAAAGGUAGUUGGAUUAGCCACAUACAUAGCUUGUGUUGUUGUAUAGAUUUCUCUUAGAGACCCUGUUUUUCGUGGAGGAGUAUUAUCGGAUGAACUUUGUGGCGAGGAGGAGCUACUUCCUGGACUUGUCAAGGCUGACAUGCUUGGGGAAGUUGAAGUUGAGGGAGAUCUUGGAGGUGUUUGCAAUUGUCUUUCAUUUAAAUGAGCCUCCAUGCUUGUUGGAACUUCAAAUUGCACUCCAUUUUCACUUUCAGGCCAUUCCCAUCUUACUUCUUCAUCAAAGAUAACAUCCCUGCUAAUGAUUACUGUACUAUUGAUAGAAUUGUAUAGUCUAUAGGCUUUGGUGGUAGAACAGUAACCCAUAAAAAUGCAUUCGACGGAUUUCUCAUCAAGCUUACUGCGUUUAUGGGAGUCAACCAAUGCAUAUGCAAUGCAACCAAAGAUUCUUAGAUGACUUACCUAAGGUCUCCUUCCCGUCCAGGCUUCAUAUGGUGUUUGAUUUGGUACUGCUCUUGUUGGGGACAAAUUUAAUAUAUAAAUUGCUGUAGCCACCGCUUCUCCCCAAAACUAAUUCGGUAAUCCUUUUGCUUGUAACAUGCUUCUUGCCAUCUCCACAACGGUUCAA